rnacentral:rRNA from 1 species
AACGAACGCUGGCGGCAUGCCUAACACAUGCAAGUCGAACGAGAUCUUCGGGUCUAGUGGCGCACGGGUGCGUAACGCGUGGGAAUCUGCCCUUUGGUUCGGAAUAACAGUUGGAAACGACUGCUAAUACCGGAUGAUGACGAAAGUCCAAAGAUUUAUCGCCAGAGGAUGAGCCCGCGUAGGAUUAGCCAGUUGGUGUGGUAAAGGCGCACCAAGGCGACGAUCCUUAGCUGGUCUGAGAGGAUGAUCAGCCACACUGGGACUGAGACACGGCCCAGACUCCUACGGGAGGCAGCAGUGGGGAAUAUUGGACAAUGGGCGAAAGCCUGGUCCAGCAAUGCCGCGUGAGUGAUGAAGGCCUUAGGGUUGUAAAGCUCUUUUACCCGGGAUGAUAAUGACAGUACCGGGAGAAUAAGCUCCGGCUAACUCCGUGCCAGCAGCCGCGGUAA